AUUGAACGCUGGCGGCAGGCCUAACACAUGCAAGUCGAACGCGUGGCGGACGGGUGAGUAAUGUCUGGGAAACUGCCCGAUGGAGGGGGAUAACUACUGGAAACGGUAGCUAAUACCGCAUACCAUCGGAUGUGCCCAGAUGGGAUUAGCUAGUAGGUGGGGUAACGGCUCACCUAGGCGACGAUCCCUAGCUGGUCUGAGAGGAUGACCAGCCACACUGGAACUGAGACACGGUCCAGACUCCUACGGGAGGCAGCAGUGGGGAAUAUUGCACAAUGGGCGCAAGCCUGAUGCAGCCAUGCCGCGUGUAUGAAGAAGGCCUUCGGGUUGUAAAGUACUGUCAGCAGGGAGGCGUUACCUACAGAGAAAGCACCGGCUAACUCCGUGCCAGCAGCCGCGGUAAUAC
rnacentral:rRNA from 1 species